rnacentral:lncRNA from 1 species
AACGUUCUAGGUUAAGACAUAAGAAUCCAGUUAUGCUUGAAGAAAAGAAAUAAAACUACGUGUGUGCUUGGCUUCUAGUAAAAGCAAUGAACGUUUUCUUUCAGCCAAAAUAAAUGCGCGCCCUUGCUACCUCCGUUCAAGCAACAUCACCCUCCAUUGCCAAUGAAAAUCUUCUCCUCCAAAUAUUCAAGUGAAAUCAGAAAAGUGAAGAGUGUGUCGGCUCUCCCAUGUUCCAGCCAAUGUAACAGUGUUCCCCAGCAGAAUAUAUAUAUGAUGAAGUAUGCGGCUAUCCUAGGAAUAAGUCCCUAUCCUAGGGUUGUGUGUCCAAGCUCCUUCUGGACGUGUACUCUGAACUUCUUUUGCACCUCCC